CCACGCUCCCUCUGUAUAAAGCGCUGACUCUGGGCCCCCAGCCAGAAAGCAGCUCCUGUGCCUCUUCCGCUGGGACCUCGUUCCUCUUGGACUCUCCCCCCAGCCUGCCUGGGAGCGGUUCCAAAAGGACAGCGCUGCUGAUGUCAGGACGAGAUGGAUGUUGGCUGGCCUUGCUCUGGGAGUUGUGGUUUUUGGAGGGUCCAGUGCUCGAAGCAGCUGGAACAGGAUGUGCUGGAGAGCGUUUCUUCCUGGCAGGGCGGUGGGGGAGGUGUCUGGCCGAGGGCUUGCAUUUUUCGGUGGGAUGGCAAAAGAGGCCGAGCUGCUAGAAGGAGGCUUCUUGCUGCGUGAGCGGGGUUGGAUUUGCCUGAGGUCAUAUGUGAGUCAUUGCACUCAGGAGUCUCCUGAUUAUCAUAUCAGUAAAACUUGGUGUGUCUCUGUCUGAUGUCUGAUAACCAUCUUGCUGGCGCUGGCAGGGAAGCCGUUGCCCAAGCCAUCCCCAAUUACUUGGAAGCUGAAUGAACUGGCUGGAACAGGAGGCUGGGAGAGCGAUUUGAAUGGCAUCUUUUUAAACCGCUUUUAAGGAAAGAAAAAGCGCUGGAAGGAUCUCAAGAGGUCACUUAAUCCAACCGCCUGCACAAGGCAGGGUCAUGCUGGACGAAACCAUCCCACACAACUGUUUGUCCGACCUGGACUUACAUUUGCAAUGACGGCUGUUCCACAACCGGGCUAGGGAAUCUCUUCUGAAAUGUAAUUACCUUCACAGUUCGAUAGUUAUUCCUAAUAUGUAAUGUGAAUUAUGAUGUGGGGG